rnacentral:rRNA from 1 species
UCUGGUUGAUCCUGCCGGAGGUUACUGCUAUCAGUAUUCGACUAAGCCAUGCGAGUCGAAUGUAGCAAUACAUGGCGUACUGCUCAGUAACACGUGGACAACCUACCCUCCGGACGGGGAUAAACCCGGGAAGCUGGGUAUAAUACCCGAUAGAUCUCGACUGCUGGAAUGCAUCGAGAUCGAAAGCUCCGGCGCCAGAGGAUGGGUCUGCGGCCUGUCAGGUAGUAGUGGGUGUAGCGUACCUACUAGCCUACGACGGGUACGGGUUGUGAGAGCAAGAGCCCGGAGAUGGAUUCUGAGACACGAAUCCAGGCCCUACGGGGUGCAGCAGGCGCGAAAACUUUACAAUGCCGGCAACGGCGAUAAGGGGACCUCGAGUGCCAGGUUACAAAUCUGGCUGUCGUGAUGCCUAAAAAGCAUUGCAUAGCAAGGGCCGGGCAAGACCGGUGCCAGCCGCCGCGGUAACACCGGCGGCUCGAGUGGUAACCGUUAUUAUUGGGUCUAAAGGGUCUGUAGCCGGCCGGAUAAGUCUCUUGGGAAAUCCAGCAGCUCAACUGUUGGGCUUUCAGAAGAUACUGUCUGGCUCGAGGCCGGGAGAGGUGAGAGGUACUUCAGGGGUAGGGGUGAAAUCUUAUAAUCCUUGAAGGACCACCAGUGGCGAAGGCGUCUCACCAGAACGGACCUGACGGCAAGGGAC